AACGAACGCUGGCGGCAGGCCUAACACAUGCAAGUCGAACGCCGUAGCAAUACGGAGUGGCAGACGGGUGAGUAACGCGUGGGAACCUACCUUACGGUCGGGAAUAGCUCAGGGAAACUUGGGGUAAUACCGGAUACGCCCUUACGGGGAAAGAUUUAUCGCCGUUAGAUGGGCCCGCGUAGGAUUAGCUAGUUGGUGAGGUAAUGGCUCACCAAGGCGACGAUCCUUAGCUGGUCUGAGAGGAUGAUCAGCCACACUGGGACUGAGACACGGCCCAGACUCCUACGGGAGGAAGCAGUUGGGAAUCUUGGACAAUGGGCGCAAGCCUGAUCCAGCCAUGCCGCGUGAGUGAUGAAGGCCUUAGGGUUGUAAAGCUCUUUUACCCGGGAAGAUAAUGACUGUACCGGGAGAAUAAGCUCCGGCUAACUUCGUGCCAGCAGCCGCCGUAACAC
rnacentral:rRNA from 1 species